AUUAAAAAAAAGAAAAAAAAGAAUGUCACACAAAACUGAAAGAUCUCUGUGUGCGCCUGAACUAUUUUUCCACAACUUCAACUCUUUAUUUCAUUCGUGUUUCUAUCGAU
rnacentral:ribozyme from 1 species